AGUCCUCACUGCGCCAGCCCUGCCCUCCACACCCCCCUGGGCUUUCCCGGAGACCCGCCCUCUUCCAGCCCGCACCACAAAAGGCUGUGCCGCUUCAGCACCGCCCCCUGCCCAAACGUCGCAGUGCUGCGGGGCAAGGAGGCGGAGUCGGGCGCCGUCUUCCCGCUCCUCGACCAAUCGGCGAGGGCCCCCCCCACGAAAAACACGACGCUGAAGACAGUGCGAGUAUUUUUCCCUUAUUCUGCCACGUCCCAACCAUUGACGCGAGCCCACUCCUCAGGCUCCCAUUGGGCGUGCGCGUUUAGCCCCCGGCAGAGGCUCCUGAUUCCUAUUGGCCGGCUAGAGCUCGGGGGCGGGGUCCGCGCGCCGUGCUCCGCCUCCUCCUCCUCCCCACCGUGUCCGCCGCCGCGCAAGGGGCGGGACGCGCCGCCGCCACCUCUGCUUCCGCCGCCGCCGCUACCGCCGCCGCGCCGCCGCCGCCGCCGCCGCCGUGCCGCCGCCGCAGCCGCCUGCUGCUGCGCGUUCGGCGGGGGAGGAGUCGGAGGCGGAGAAGAAGGCGGUGGUGGCGGGUGGAGGAUCGAGCGCUGUUCUCGCUCCGGAGCCGCUGCACAUUUCGGUGAGGGGCUUUUUUUUUUUCUCCUCUCCUUUUUUUUUUUUUUUUUUUCUUUUAAAAAUCGGGCUUGUUCGGAUGUCAGCAGUGUGGGGGUCGGGGCGAGGAAAUGGCUGCCUUCAUCUGCCGUUCUUGCCUCUCUGGAGCAGGAGCGGGGCCUGUCCCCGGCCCGCAGCGCCGGCCAUGUGCUGAUGCCUCCCCCAAUGGCCUGGAGGAUGAAGGUACCGAAGGCACGGUGAUCACUGGUGGUGCAACCAUCACUUGCAGGAAACUGGAUUACAGGAAAUCAAAGGCAAACAUGAAGAACAGAGCCCAGAAAGGGUAAAUCCUUUCAUGAUAGGUGCUGCAGAACAAAUCAAGCACAACCUUACUAAUUUAAAAAACCUACCAGUUCCGGGCCAGCAUUGUAGGUGCAGUGGCUGCAAUGUGGGCAUCCCAUAUGAGUGCCUGUUCCAGCUGUGCCUGGCUUGUGUCUGGCUCUGUCCCGGUGGCUGGGGCCGUUGGGGGUGAACCAGCAGAUGGAAGAUCUAUCACUUACUGGCUUGCUCUUUCACAUAUACAAUAUAAAUAAUUCUUAAACGAAAUUGCCAGUUCAGUAUUCGUGACAGCAUGAACCAGGAUGUCCUGGUUGCUUUGUUAGACUACUUUGAGGAUGGCGUGACCCCAUUUAUAUUGUCUUUAAGGCUGGUUUAGAGAUGGAAAAAUAUUAAUUUUGGCAGUUACUUUGGAUCUAUCACUGCCCAUCAUGACUGGCUGCUGCUCGUCAUCCACACAGCACUGUCCGAAGUGUUAUUUUGAGCUCUGCAUUUAUUUUGACUGUGAUUUACUUGGAGUGGAGGCAUUGCUUUUAAGGAAAAAGCAUUGUCAUAUAGGUUGUCUAAAAAUAAAAUGCAUUUAAGCUUUAAAAAAGACCUCUUU
rnacentral:lncRNA from 1 species